rnacentral:misc_RNA from 1 species
GAUGAAGAACGUAGCGAAAUGCGAUAAGUAGUGUGAAUUGCAGAAUUCAGUGAAUCAUCGAAUCUUUGAACGCACAUUGCGCCCCUUGGUAUUCCAUGGGGCAUGCCUGUUCGAGCGUCAUUUGUACCUUCAAGCUCUGCUUGGUGUUGGGUGUUUGUCUCGCCUCUGCGUGUAGACUCGCCUCAAAACAAUUGGCAGCCGGCCUACUGGUUUCGGAGCGCAGCACAAGUCGCACUCUCUAUCAGCAAAGGUCUAGCAUCCAUUAAGCCUUUUUUUCAACUUUUGACCUCGGAUCAGGUAGGGAUACCCGCUGAACUUAAGCAUAUCAAUAAGCGGAGGA